rnacentral:rRNA from 1 species
UACGUAGGGUGCGAGCGUUGUCCGGAAUUAUUGGGCGUAAAGAGCUUGUAGGCGGUUUGUCGCGUCUGCUGUGAAAAUCCGGGGCUCAACCCCGGACUUGCAGUGGGUACGGGCAGACUAGAGUGUGGUAGGGGAGACUGGAAUUCCUGGUGUAGCGGUGGAAUGCGCAGAUAUCAGGAGGAACACCGAUGGCGAAGGCAGGUCUCUGGGCCACUACUGACGCUGAGAAGCGAAAGCGUGUGGAGCAAACAGG